rnacentral:ncRNA from 1 species
CCGCUACAACGGCUUCCUGGCGUGGCGGCUGACCCCAAUGGAGCA